rnacentral:misc_RNA from 1 species
GAUGAAGAACGUAGCGAAAUGCGAUAAGCAAUGUGAAUUGCAGAAUUCAGUGAAUCAUCGAAUCUUUGAACGCAUCUUGCGCUCCUUGGUAUUCCUUGGAGCAUGCCUGUUUGAGUAUCAUGAGCAAACCUCAAAGUCAAUUCCUUUUGUUAAUUCAAUUGGUUUUGCUUUGGACUUGGAGGUCUUGCAGAUUUCACAGUCUGCUCCUCUUAAAUGCAUUAGCUGGAUCUCAGUAAUUAUGCUUGGUUCCACUCGGCGUGAUAAGUAUCACUCGCUGAGGACACUGUUAAAAAGGUGGCCAGGAAAAUACUGAUUGAACCGCUUCUAACGGUCUAUUAAGUUAGACAAUUACCCUUAAGUUUGAUCUCAAAUCAGGUAGGACUACCCGCUGAACUUAAGCAUAUCAAUAAGCGGAGGA